AGAGAAUCGCCCGAUCGGUCAAAGCGUCCCCUCCUCCAUCUCUGCGGCGGAACUGCCAGAUAUAGACAGCGAGGAACCCUAACCCUAACCAGUGGUUCAGAUCCGCAAGGCCUGCGACUAUGGCGGGUUUCUCCCUAGUCCGCGAGGCGGGACGAGGGUCCUGCGUCCGGCAGGUGAGGGGUUUCGCCAGCUCGUCCCCGUCCCGCAGCAUUCCGGAUACACACGUGCCUUUCGGGGAGGACACCGUGCAACGCAAAUCCAGCAGAAGAAAGAGGAGCUGUAUGAUCUCAUCGCUGACGCCCAGGCCAAAUCCGCGGCUUCCCAGCGAGACAGAUUUGUGCUCAAGACUCUCUGCACACAAGUCAAGCCCAGGCCACAUGACCCUCAAUGGCGCGAGAUAAUUACAGUCAAGAAGGCUAGCAAGCGGGCUGCAUUUGCGUUUGUUUUUGUUACUGGCUGCAUCACUCUUGGUGGCCUUGCUCAGGGUGCGCGCAAUGAAGUGGAGCAUGAGAUGUGCAUGCCAGUGGAGCAGCGCAGAAUCUGAAGGGAACUGCAGAAGCAAGUGGAGUGAAGACGAAGCAUCUUGUUUGAUGGAGAAGCAAGACGGAUAUCAGUUUUUUUCCUGCACUAUAUUAUGCAUGUCUCUUGUACUAUAUAUAUGUCUAUGAUCUGCCACCUAUGACUUGAGUAGUAUUAUUACUGGUUGAUCUGUGGAAUGUGGACGCAAUGUAAGAUAAUUUGUGAUGUGUGAAAGUGAGUCUCAAGUAUUGCUGUCGGCAA